UUGCACGCUGGCGGCAUGCUUUACACCUGCAAGUCGCACGGCAGCGCGGGCUUCGGCCUGGCGGCGAGUGGCGAACGGGUGAGUAAUACAUCGGAACGUGCCCAGUAGUGGGGGAUAGCUCGGCGAAAGCCGGAUUAAUACCGCAUACGACCUGAGGGUGAAAGCGGGGGAUCUUCGGACCUCGCGCUAUUGGAGCGGCCGAUGGCAGAUUAGCUAGUUGGUGGGGUAAAGGCCUACCAAGGCGACGAUCUGUAGCUGGUCUGAGAGGACGACCAGCCACACUGGGACUGAGACACGGCCCAGACUCCUACGGGAGGCAGCAGUGGGGAAUUUUGGACAAUGGGCGAAAGCCUGAUCCAGCAAUGCCGCGUGUGUGAUGAAGGCCUUCGGGUUGUAAAGCACUUUUGGCGGGAACGAAAAGGACUGUGCCAAUACCACGGUUCGAUGACGGUACCCGCAGAAUAAGCACCGGCUAACUACGUG
rnacentral:rRNA from 1 species